CUCAGAAUCAACGCUGGCGGCGCGCUUAACACAUGCAAGUCGAGCGAGAAAGGGAGCAAUCCUGAGUAAAGCGGCGCACGGGUGAGUAACACGUGGAUCAUCUACCCUAUGGUGGGGAAUAACCUUGGGAAACUGAGGCUAAUACCGCAUAAGUUCGAGAGAAGAAAGCCGAAAGGCGCCAUUGGAGGAGUCCGCGGCCGAUUAGCUAGUUGGUGGGGUAAGAGCUCACCAAGGCGAUGAUCGGUAGCCGGCCUGAGAGGGCACACGGCCACACUGGCACUGAAACACGGGCCAGACUCCUACGGGGGGCAGCAGUGGGGAAUCUUGCACAAUGGGGGAAACCCUGAUGCAGCGACGCCGCGUGAGUGAUGAAGCCCUUCGGGGUGUAAAGCUCUUUCGGCAGGGACGAUAAUGACGGUACCUGCAGAAGAAGCUGCGGCUAACUACGUGCCAGCAGCCGCGGUAAUACGUAGGCAGCAAGCGUUGUUCGGAAUUACUGGGCGUAAAGAGUGCGUAGGCGGUUUGGCAAGUUUGGUGUGAAAUCUCCCGGCUUAACUGGGAGGGUGCGCCGAAAACUGCCAGGCUAGAGUGUGGGAGAGGAAAGUGGAAUUCCUGGUGUAGCGGUGAAAUGCGUAGAUAUCAGGAGGAACACCUGCGGUGUAGACGGCUUUCUGGACCACUACUGACGCUGAGGCACGAAAGCGUGGGGAGCAAACAGGAUUAGAUACCCUGGUAGUCCACGCCCUAAACGAUGCAGACUUGGUGUUGGCCCUUCAUUGGGUCAGUGCCGAAGCUAACGCGGUAAGUCUGCCGCCUGGGGAGUACGGUCGCAAGGCUGAA
rnacentral:rRNA from 1 species